rfam:Methanocorpusculum labreanum Z, complete genome.
GCGAGGGUAGCCAAGCCAGGCCAAAGGCGCCAGACUUAAGAUCUGGUCUUCAGUAGUUCAUGGGUUCGAAUCCCUUCCCUCGCA